rnacentral:rRNA from 1 species
UACGGAGGGUGCGAGCGUUGUCCGGAAUCACUGGGCGUAAAGGGCGCGUAGGCGGCAUGCCAAGCGUGUGGUGAAAGCCCGGGGCUCAACCCCGGGUCGGCCGUGCGGACUGGCGUGCUUGAGCACUGUAGGGGCGGGUGGAAUUCCGGGUGUAGCGGUGGAAUGCGUAGAGAUCCGGAGGAACACCAGUGGCGAAGGCGGCCGCCUGGGCCUGUCCUGACGCUGAGGCGCGAAAGCGUGGGGAGCGAUCCGG